rnacentral:rRNA from 1 species
GAUGAACGCUGGCGGCGUGCUUAACACAUGCAAGUCGAACGGUGAAGGCGCAUCUUGCUCUGCUGGAUCAGUGGCGAACGGGUGAGUAACACGUAAGCAAUCUGCCCCUGACUAUGGGAUAAGCGCUGGAAACGGCGUCUAACACUGGAUACGAGCUGCAAAGGCAUCGUCAGCAGCUGGAAAGAAUUGCGGUCAGGGAUGAGUGCGCGGCUUAUCAGUUUGUUGGUGAGGUAAUGGCUCACGAAGUCAUCGACGGGUAGCCGGCCGGAGAAGGUGAACGGCCCCCAUAGUACUGAGAGACGCACCAGUCUCCUACGUGAGGCAGCAGGGGGAAGUCUUGUACAACAAGGCCACGCGUGAGGUGGCGGCGUCGCGUGUGGGACGAGGGCUUUCGCGGUAUGAAACUCUUUUAGCAAAGAAGAAGGGAAAGUGACGGUACCGGCAGAAAAAGCGCCGGCUAACUACGUG